rnacentral:rRNA from 1 species
UGAGGAAUAUUGGUCAAUGGGCGAGAGCCUGAACCAGCCAAGUCGCGUGAGGGAAGACGGUCCUAUGGAUUGUAAACCUCUUUUGUCGGGGAGCAAAAAGGCCUCGUGAGGCCACAAGUGAGAGUACCCGAAGAAAAAGCAUCGGCUAACUCCGUGCCAGCAGCCGCGGUAAUACGGAGGAUGCGAGCGUUAUCCGGAUUUAUUGGGUUUAAAGGGUGCGUAGGCGGACUGGAAAGUCAGCGGUAAAAUCGAGAGGCUCAACCUCUUUCCGCCGUUGAAACUGUCGGUCUUGAGUGGGCGAGA